rnacentral:tRNA from 1 species
GGAUUGUGGCUCAGUGGUAGAGUGCUCGCGUAGCAUGCAUGAAACACUGGGUUCGAUCCUCAGCACCA